rnacentral:rRNA from 1 species
CGAGGCGGCCCCUAAUACGCCCUUCCUACGGGGGGCAGCAGUGGGGAAUAUUGCGCAGUGGGGGAAACCCUGAUUCAGCAACGCCGCGUGAAUGAUGAAGGGCUUCGGGUUGUUAAUUUCUGUCUUCUGGGACGAUAAUGACGGUACCAGAGGAGGAAGCCACGGCUAACUACGUGCCAGCAGCCGCGGUAAUACACAGGUGGCAAGCGUUGUCCGGAUUUACUGGGCGCCAAGGAUGCGUAGGCGGACAUUUAACUCAGAUGCGAAAUACCCGAACUUAACUUGGGUGCUGCCUUUGAAACUGGGUGUCUCGAGUGCAGGAGAGGUAAGUGGAAUUCCUAGUGUAGCGGAGAAAUGCGUAAAGAUUAGGAAGAACACCUGUGGCCAAGGUGACUUACUGGACUGUAACUGACGCUGAGGCAUGAAAGCGUGGGGAGCAAACAGGAUUAGAUACCCUGGUAGACCACGCCGUAAACGAUC